AAAGUUUCAAAAACUGAAGAACAAACACUAGCCGCCUCUUAAAAAGUACAACGGUUGACGUGUACAUGUAGGUCGGUCAGCUGUGGACGGAUUGGAGUGCUACAUGUCUGCUUACUCAGCAGCCUGCACCAAAGCGCAGCUUGCUUACCGUUCUUUUUUUAAAACAGACCGCAGGGUAGUAAAUAGCUACGAGGAGGAUCACAGCCUUCACAGCUGAUUGGUUUGCUGCCGGCCUGACACAAACAGGAAGCCGGUCGUGCAAGUCAGAGGAGAGAGCGGACGACGAGGAGAGACAGACAAGAGUGCCGCGUGACUCAUGGAGGAAUGCAGUGUGUGAUUCAGAUCUCUGCAUCGUCAGCAGGCAGCGUGGACCGAAAAAUGAUGCCAAACACAUCUCAUUCCCGUAAUGUUUGGCAAUUGCUGAGGCCUGCUCGGGGACCGCAUUUCCUUGGAUCCUCGCACCGUGCAGAAUAUGCUCCCUAUUUGCCUCCAGGAGUAGGCAGACAUUCAAUCCGACCUCCUCAAUGUCAGAAUGGCGACGGAGAUAUACUUGGUAACUUGUGUUUUUGCACCCCUCCUUCCACCCUUUCCCAGUGUGAGUGUGUAUGCAUGUAUCUUUCAAGCCCUUCAUUUCCCAGAAAAGAGCUGAGGAUUUAUGAGUGCAUGGGCCGCCGCGAGCGACAUCUCCAGAGAAGGAUGAGUGUUUCCUGCAAACAGUUGGGAGGGGGUGCGUGUGUGUGUGCGUGAGUGUGUGUGGGUGGACAGCUUCCAUAGAAACACUAUCCAGCAACACUUGAGGAGCGUCAUCAAGGGGAGGUGUGCUGUGUGUGAGCACGGAGGAGGCGUGCUUCUGAGAAAAAGCCCACGAGGCCGUGCAGAUCUGUGAUUGACAGUUGACUCUGCUGAUUACUGCCCCUCAGGGACAAACUCCUGACAACAGCUGCUGCUUCAAACUCCCCCUGAACUCUCGCUAACAUCAGCUGUCUCACAUAACGUCUCUCCAAAUAUGUCCAAACUUGACUCGUCAGCUUAAGCGUGGCAUCCGAAUCCCCUUCUUUUACGUCUACUUCUGCCUCUGCAGAAAUCUGACACAGGAGGACUUCGCCUGACCUGCUGAACCGACAAGUAUCUGCAAAGUAUCAGGAGCCAGGGUUGCCAGGUCUGACUGACAGUUUAAAGCCUAAACACAACAUAAAACUCACCCAGCUCCAAAGAAAACAGCCCAAACCUCAACCUCUAAUGAAACUCAUGUUAACAGCGUGAGUCAUAGUCAUAAGCUGACUUUCCAUUCACCAUAUAAUUUAGCAAAUUGAAAUUACAAAAAUAAAUUUGCUUAAUGGAUGCAUGGCAAAGGGAUGAAAUGGGUUUUCGGUUGUAUCCAAAUUAGUGUAUUUGCAAUUUAAACAAAUUUUGUGCAUCACACGAGUGAUGCAAAAAUCAUGAACAACCGGAUGUUACUACUGGUGGAAAUGACAAAGAAGACGACAGGAAGUGGUAGGAGGAUGAUGGCGCAACAUAUUUUCUGAUUUAUUGUGUGAACAAACUUAUUUGUGUUUCUGAUUAAUCCAAGUUUCUGAUUUAAUGGCAUCACCGCAAUUACAAAAUUGUGUUUUUUCAAUAUUAGCAGAAUAUCAAAAAAGUUCUGCGCACAUUUAAGCGCAAAAUGCAGCUAUAUAUGCAUAUAUAGCUGAGAAAUGCAGCUAUAUAUGAAGACAGUUUUGGUUGUCCUUUAUUAUAUUCGAUAUUGUAUUAUAUUCUCAUUAGGAUUGACUGAACACAAUGAAACUUGAGGUUUUUUUUGUGGAGCCUUGUAAUUUUAAAUCAUGUUGAUGACCUGCUAUUUCUGUUUUAUAAUACUACUACAUAGUGACACUUGAUUAACCAAUAACUAAUCAUUGAUGAUGUCACAUUCGCCAGAUUCUAGAGAUUUCAAAAUAAAUGAACUAAUAAGCGGUGGCAGUUUCUGAUAUGGGCAGUAGCCCUGGGUGGCUUUUCAAAUGGGGCGGCAGGAGCUUUGUUAUUUGCAUUUAGCUGUUUGAGAUGACAUAUUUGGUUUUUAGCAAUAUAUAUUGUAUAUUUUUUAGAUUAUAAUUCUUAUGAAACUAAACUAAAACAUGGGAAAGUAAAACUACUAAAGGCAAUGAUCUUGUGAUGUAGUUUGGACCGAGUUAAAUAGCCAUUAGCUGGAAGAGGUGUUGUUUUCUCUAUGCUAUGUAAAUCACUUCACAAGUUAUGUUAGCUUGCUUUUAUUACUCUAUUACUUUAGGCUACUUCUUGGAAACAAUUUUAUAGCCUAUUAAAUAGGGAUGUCGAUAUGGAAAUUUGGCCUGAUCGCUGAUAAUACUGGUGUUAUAUCCAAUAUUUGCCAAUGUCAUAUAGAUUGCAUAUAGUACCUUACACUAUCAGCACUGUAAAAACGACCACAGCUUCUUUAUUCUCUGCUUCAGAUAAACCUCUGCUGCAUCACACUUCCACGUUUGUUAAAUGAGAUAUUAAAAGAAAUUUUCAGUGUGUCUGUGCUGACGAAAUGAAAUGUAAAUGAUGUGUUAUGGUCAGUUGAAAAGCAGGAAGGGAGCGCUGGAUGUAAUUUGCCCGGGACAGCAAACAAGCUGGGACUGCCCUUGAUAAUAAGUGUAAUAACAGCAUUUUAUUAAAAGAUUUCUGCCAAACAAUGGCAUCUAUUUUGGACAAAUUUUCCUCUGAACAUUUUCCAAAAGCCCGUCAAAUGUUGUGAAAAGCGGCCGACAUUUUAACAACCAUUUAAUCUGGCAGUACUGUCCCGAACAUUUUCACCCUUCGUCUCCCCUCUUUAUCCUCCGCCGCCGCCGCCAUCGGGUGGUGCGGACGUGAGGAGGAACAGUGACUUCAUGGUGGGGUUGUGUAAGAGCGCGGGGCGAGGCCUGAAAACCGAGCCGUGUGAGACAAACGAAAGUGCUGAUGAGCCAAAAAGAGAGCUAGUGUUGCUGGAAGCCUGCAGAUAUUCCCCCCUUCAACCCAACUCAGCCCAACUCAGCACCCCCUGGGUAGAAGUCAGAUGUCAGAGAGGACAGACGAGGUCCGGACUCAUUCGAAGCCACGUGGACAGCAUGUAGAAGGCCCCGCUUUGGGCUAGCGGGGGGGUCAGGGCAUCAAGUUUAAAGGGUGGGGGUGGAGGGGAUCUAUUCCAACGGAGAGAGAAAGGUCGCAGUGUAAGCUGAUAAAGGCAGGAGGCAGGGCUUGGGGCCGCUUCCAGGCCAGCCAGUCAGCUGACGCUUGCAGCUGUGUUUGGAACAUCAAUAUGAGCCUUGUUCAGCCUCUUUCCACCCCCCGCCAUCACCGCCUCCCUUGCUUGCUCGCUCCUCACUCGGCAUCCCCCCCUCCUCUUCCCAACACGCCGUUUCCUUUCCUUUUUUUUUCCAGCUCUUGAUUUAUGAAAGUAGGGCAUGUGCCCAUAACUGCUGCAUCAAGGCACAUGGCUUAGCCUCCAGAGGCACUAAGGCGCUGUUUACAUCAGCCCAGACAACUGCACUGCAUUGCACAAUCGCCACAGGCAGCCUGUUAUAUAAAGUGUGGAGCCACGUUGGCUCUGUUGUUUUUGUUUCUCAUCUCAGGCCUCCUUCUCUACCUAUAAGCCCGAGCUGCACAAAUCCAGAUGUUCUCAACAAAGAUUUUAUGUGAUACACCAACUAGUGGCGGGCAUUUAUCGUAUCAUUUAUCAGUUAUCGUUAUAAUUUUUUUAUGAGAAGAUUUUUGAUUUAUUGUAUGGAUUCUAAUUAAUUAACCCCAUAAAACUGUAUUGUUGGGAUUGUUAUUUUUACUACUUUUCUCCAUUGUUCAAUAAACCUAUUUUAAUAAAUAUAACUCAAUUCAGUUACUGUAUGAAUUUUUGUGAUACAAGUCUAACAUUUUAGGUGACUAGUGACCUAAAGAAGCAUAUUACAAACGUUUUUCAAGAGUAUCUGUGUUUGUGAGAUUAUAAUUUCUGUGUAAUGCAGUCACAGCCACCAAAUUACCUAAAAAUGAUGUAAUAGUACCAGAA